AGAACAGGAAGUGAACCUUGAAUAGUUCAGUGGUCAGUUCAGACUCCAUGUUGAGUGGACGGAGCAGAAGGAGGUAAAGUGAAGGCUGAGGCAGGGUGCUGAGCCUACGGUGGUGGACUGGUGUCCUGGUCACGGUGUCCCUCUUUUAUUGUGUUUGCAGUUGGUUUAUUUUUCAUUUGUUUUACGUGUGGUGUUCCUGGGACCCCCUUUCCUUUGGAUGCAGGUGUUCACAGUAGGUCUCAGCACUGAUUGGAUCUCAGCACCCAAUUUCCCUCCUUAGUGCUGAGCCUACGGUGGUGGACUGGUGUCCUGGUCACGGUGUCCCUCUUUUAUUGUGUUUGCAGUUGGUUUAUUUUUCAUUUGUUUUACGUGUGGUGUUCCUGGGACCCCCUUUCCUUUGGAUGCAGGUGUUCACAGUAGGUCUCAGCACUGAUUGGAUCUCAG